AUCUGAACUUCAAUAUUUAGAUAAAAAAUGAAACCUGAAAAUUCAACCAACCUUGCCAAAGAUCCUGCCGCAGGUUUAUUUGUACAAAUAGCACAGGAGGACACCAGGCCCAUGCAGACAGAAGCCCAGGGGUGGUACCAGUCCUUCCGUCCUCACACUGGCAGGCAGAAGCCUCUACACUGGAGCCUUUGUGGGGGCCUGGGCACCUUUGGGAGCCUGCGCUGCUGCAGGAGUAGAAGCAGGAGCUGGAGCCGCGGUCGCAGCUAUAGCCUGGGCCUUGGUUUGAGCCUUGGCCUUGGCCUUUGGCCGGCAGUGCCUGAGACCUUUGGCAAUGCAGGCACGAGCACGUUUCCCUAGCUUGGGGUGAGCGAUGUAGGCAAGUCGAUUGAGCUUGCGGCUGCCGCCCUUUGGGAUCUUGGGCUUGACAAGUGCCUUAAUAACCUCAGCAUGCGCAGUCAUGGCCUUGGCAUUGUUGGCCUGCAUCUUCUUCAGGCCCUUCUUGUUGUGCUUCUUGGCAAAGCACAUGUUCCUCAGGAACUUGGGGUCUACCCUCUUAAGAGAUUUGUAUCUUUGUGACUGGGGUUUCUUGAUGCCAUUUCUGUGCCAUUUUCAUGACUGGUUGUGCGUGGUGUGGUUCUUGGACUUGGCCAUAUCUGCACCAAAGCCCGCAGCUCUUGAUUUUCAAAAUAACAAAUAUUUUCAAUAUAUACAUAGUAUUUCUUAAUGUUAUGACAAAAAAUCUAAAAUAAAUGAUCAGUUUUCUGUUUAAAUAAUCCA
rnacentral:lncRNA from 12 species